rnacentral:lncRNA from 1 species
AGGCCUGAGCCACCCUGCCCAGAAGGUACUGGUGUUCUGAGCGUGUAUGACAGAGUCUGCCAGGACUCCGAGAGAGAGGCUGAGCUGGGCAGCUGGAGCUGGCACAUGGUUGGUCUCUGUCUCCUCUCAGCAGGUGCAGGAAAGCAGAACCCAGCGCUCCAUGCUCCCUGCAGGGGAGAAAGGUCACACCAAAAGUCUUUGUCUUGAGCUCCAAAUCCAGAGUCCUUGUAGAGGCUGAAAGGCAGCGUGGAAGAUCAGGAAAGAGCCAGGCGGCCUUAGGAAAGGUUACCGAGAAAGGAAGGAGGUCGGCCCUGCCUCUGGCACCAGCCCCACUGGGCCAGGGUCCCAGGGAUUCACUGACUAAUCCCCAAAUGCUAUGCUCACACUGGCUGGCACUCUCACAAGUUCCCAUUGUCUCUCCAGCCGGCUGCAGGCCCAGGGCAGCCACGUCAAGAUCUCCUGCCUCUCAUUCACUUCCAGGGAACAGAGGCUCCCACCUCCAGGCACACGACGCCCCUCUGCCCUCUCCCAGCUGACCUAAGGGUCCAGCUGCCAGGUCAGCAGACACUGCCCAGGCAGCAAGCUCUGAAGACAGGGAGACGGGCAACUCCUUACACACUUCCAAUGUGAAGACACCCCAUGAGUCUAGAUCAGGAGCAGCACAGGCCAUGUGACAAGUCCUCAGGUGGGACCAGGAAUCUCCUCUGCCAUCUUGGCUCUGCCUUUUGCUAACCAGGUUGGCCUCGAUCUUUCUGCACACCAAGGAUCAGAUCCCCUCCCCCACCAUGGACCAGCGGGACUGGAGAUGGACUUAAGAUGAACCUGGCUGGGUAAGUGAGAAACAGCUGAAGAACUCUUAAGCAUACCGACGCCCUCACAGGUGAGAUAAAAGUGCAGCACACCUGCCCAUCACCCACAGUCCACAAGAGAUACCACCUUCCCUCCAGUUCCCUCCACCCAAGGACCCAAGGAUGGCAGAAGAAAAAAAAAAUGAUCGCAACCUCCCAGGUCUAGCACUGGAGUUUCCCUUCUAUCCCAGGGAGACCCCGGCGAGAACUGGGGAGUCACUUCACCCACAACAAACAGUUAAAAGGAAGAAAGCGGGUCUGGCGAUAUCAAUGCACUUUGAUAACAAUAAACCCUGCUUUUAAUUUAUGCUAAUGUGUAGGGCUGUGGUGACAGUAAGAACUAAAUUACAGAGUGGCUUUCGAGCCGGUAAUUAUCCCUCCAUUUUUCACCGCUCUGGAAGAUGGACACACAAUUAUGCUCUCUUGCUGUAUAUUAAUACAGAUUCUUGACAUCUUCAGCAGACCCGGAG